AGCCGUAUUCUUAUUAAAGGCAUUAUAAAGUCUCUAAAAGCACGGCUCAAAACCCCAACCACGAUAUUAAGCUCCUCAUUGAGCACUCGUGGUUGGGUUUAUGCCCGUAAGGGCAUAAGGUAGCCCGAAAGGGCUAUC
rnacentral:sRNA from 12 species